rnacentral:rRNA from 1 species
AACAUGCAAGUCGAAACGCUUCUUUCCUCUCGAGUGCUUGCACUCACUUGGAAAGAGGAGUGGCGGACGGGUGAGUAACACGUGGGUAACCUACCCAUCAGAGGGGGAUAACACUUGGAAACAGGUGCUAAUACCGCAUAACAGUUUAUGCCGCAUGGCAUAAGAGUGAAAGGCGCUUUCGGGUGUCUGCUGAUGGAUGGACCCGCGGUGCAUUAGCUAGUUGGUGAGGUAACGGCUCACCAAGGCCACGAUGCAUAGCCCACCUGAGAGGGUGAUCGGCCACACUGGGACUGAGACACGGCCCACACUCCUACGGGAGGCAGCAGUAGGGAAUCUUCGGCAAUGGACGAAAGUCUGACCGAGCAACGCCGCGUGAGUGAAGAAGGUUUUCGGAUCGUAAAACUCUUGUGUUAGAGAAGAACAAGGACGAUAGUAACUGAACGUCCCCUGACGGUUUCUAACCAGAAAGCCACGGUUAACUACGUGCCAGCAGCCGCGGUAAUACUUAGGUGGCAAGCGUUGUCCGGAUUUAUUGGGCGUAAAGCGAGCGCAGGCGGUUUCUUAAGUCUGAUGUGAAAGCCCCCGGCUCAACCGGGGAGGGUCAUUGGAAACUGGGAGACUUGAGUGCAGAAAAGGAAAGUGGAAUUCCAUGUGUAGCGGUGAAAUGCGUAGAUUUUGGAGGAACACCAGUGGCGAAGGCGGUUCUCUGGUCUGUAACUGACGCUGAGGCUCGAAAGCGUGGGGAGCAAACAGGAUUAGAUACCCUGGUAGUCCACGCCGUAAACGAUGAGUGCUAAGUGUUGGAGGGUUUCCGCCCUUCAGUGCUGCAGCAAACGCAUUAAGCACUCCGCCUGGGGAGUACGACCGCAAGGUUGAAACUCAAAGGAAUUGACGGGGCCCGCACAAGCGGUGGAGCAUGUGGUUUAAUUCGAAGCAACGCGAAGAACCUUACCAGGUCUUGACAUCCUUUUUGACCACUCUAGAGAUAGAGCUUUCCCCUCGGGGACAAAGUGACAGGUGUGCAUGGUUGUCGUCAGCUCGUGUCGUGAGAUGUUGGGUUAAGUCCCCGCAACGAGCGCAACCUUAUUGUUAGUUGCCAUCAUUAGUUGGGGCACUCUAGCGAGACUGCCGGUGACAAACCGGAGGGAAGGUGGGAUGACGUCAAAAUCAUCAUGCC